rnacentral:rRNA from 1 species
AACAGGAAACAGCUUGCUGUUUCGCUGACGAGUGGCGGACGGGUGAGUAAUGUCUGGGAAACUGCCUGAUGGAGGGGGAUAACUACUGGAAACGGUAGCUAAUACCGCAUAACGUCGCAAGACCAAAGAGGGGGACCUUCGGGCCUCUUGCCAUCGGAUGUGCCCAGAUGGGAUUAGCUAGUAGGUGGGGUAACGGCUCACCUAGGCGACGAUCCCUAGCUGGUCUGAGAGGAUGACCAGCCACACUGGAACUGAGACACGGUCCAGACUCCUACGGGAGGCAGCAGUGGGGAAUAUUGCACAAUGGGCGCAAGCCUGAUGCAGCCAUGCCGCGUGUAUGAAGAAGGCCUUCGGGUUGUAAAGUACUUUCAGCGGGGAGGAAGGGAGUAAAGUUAAUACCUUUGCUCAUUGAUGUUACCCGCAGAAGAAGCACCGGCUAACUCCGUGCCAGCAGCCGCGGUAAUACGGAGGGUGCAAGCGUUAAUCGGAAUUACUGGGCGUAAAGCGCACGCAGGCGGUUUGUUAAGUCAGAUGUGAAAUCCCCGGGCUCAACCUGGGAACUGCAUCUGAUACUGGCAAGCUUGAGUCUCGUAGAGGGGGGUAGAAUUCCAGGUGUAGCGGUGAAAUGCGUAGAGAUCUGGAGGAAUACCGGUGGCGAAGGAGGCCCCUGGACGAAGACUGACGCU